CUAGCAUGCAAUCCGGGUUGCCUACCUAUCGUCUCACUGAAAUUUCCUAAUGCGCGGUCUAGAUUGUAUUAUACGUCAAUGGUAUUUUCUGAGUGUUAUUAUUAUUAUUCUAUGGUGACAAUCUGACAAUUCAAAUAAUUUAAUCAAAUAAUUCAAUUCGUUCAUCUCAUCAGAGCAGGACGUCUGUUCCUCUUCAGUUUUUUUUUUUACAUUUGGUCUCCUCCUUGUGAGUAAGUAAGAACCUUCUCUAAUAAAGAUUUUCUUUCAAUUAAACUGCUUAUAAAUUUCGUUUUGCUUCCGACAGAUGGCCAAAGUUGAAAAAUGCACAUGUCACAUGGCGAAGUUGCUAUAGCAUUCCAAAUGACCAGUUUAGAAAGUAUUAACGAAGCAAGGCUGGAGCUGAUGGAAGCCCUCGGUGAAUUCAAAGAUGCGUACUUAUGUAUGAUGAAACAGUGGUUUAAAAUGCAGAUAAGCAAAAAAGAAUUUGAAGGAGAAAUAAGGAACAUGCUACCCCAGCAUCAGCUACACUUGCACAAUCGGUUUAUUCUUCGAUUAAUCAACAGUUGCCUCAAAUCAGAGGAUGACACAGCAAAAAAGAGGUUUCUCCUUUCCAAAAAAGGCGAAUUGGUAAAAACAAAGAGCCCUGUGAGCCCCCCCAAAAAAUGCCUAAAAUCGAGGAAGAAGUAUUGAAACCGUUCGCAAAAUCUGCUGACUUCAUAGUAUGUUACCUUUACCACCUUCAGCCUGUAAUUUUUAAUCUUCCAUAGGGUAAUAAUGUUUCCAAUGUAAAGGUAGCAGCAAAAUAGACUCACUUGGGGCUACAUUACAUCCGGUACUGUCUGCUUGCACUAAACGUUGUGGUUCAUACUCUUGUUAGAAUUCUUUUUACACUCGUGAGCCUUUUAAGAGAGUGGAACCUUUGAAUGGACCACUAGACAAGGUACGAAGUUAAGCAUCCUGAUACAUGUUUCGUAACCAAAAUUUUACGUGGAGCUCGACUCCAGCAACGAAAACUGCUGAAAUUAACUCCUAACCAAAAUAUUUAAUGUUUCUUAAUCGUGAAUUCAAACCUCCCGCUCAUGAAAACUCAAUGGUCUAUGUGAGUCAAAUCGCACAAAAUUCGCAAAAAUUCGCAUCAAAAUUCCGCCUCAACGUUAUUUUUUUUAGAGGAGAACCUCGACAUAUUUCACAUCACUCCUUGCAGUUUAUAC
rnacentral:lncRNA from 1 species